AAAGAGUUACAGGAACUGCGGCCAGAGGGACUUAAAAAUCCCCAAAUUGGUCCAGUCAGAACACGAGAAAAAAAGGGUUCUAGGAAUUUUAUGUUCUAGGAACUGCAAAAAUCCCUCCAGUCGGAAAGCGGCUUAUAGGUGCUCCAAGGUAA